rnacentral:lncRNA from 1 species
GCACCACCGCGGGAGUCCGCGUGCCGCCGGCCGCCGUGCCAACCCCCACCCGCGGUCGCCGGCGUAUGGCCUCUCCCGGCGUGCGCCAAUCCCCACCCGCGUCGGCUAUCAAGCCGCGCACGCCUCCCCGCUCUCGCUCCGCGCCCCCGGCCAUUAAACCCAACGUCCCGGUCUUUCCAUUCCCUCCCGCACACACAUAAUCCGCC